rnacentral:rRNA from 1 species
CCCUUAGAUGUUCUGGGCUGCACGCGUGCUACAAUGAAGCGUCCAACAAGAUGCGAAGCCGAAAGGCUCAGCGGAUCUUUGAAGUCGUUUCGUGACCGGGACAGUUGAUUGCAAUUAUUCGACUCGAACGAGGAAUUCCUUGUAAUCGCGAUUCAUCAUAUCGCGCUGAAUACAUCCCUGCCCUUUGUACACACCGCCCGUCGCUCCUACCGAUUGAGCGAUCCGGUGAAUUAUUUGGAGUGUCCACGCAAGCCAAUCCGUUUACGUGGGUGCGAAAUUUUGUAAACCUUAUCGCUUAGAGGAAGGAAAAGUCGUAACA